UCGACGCGUACGGGUGUUGGGAGACAUAGCCCGGAGAUGGAUUCUGAGACACGAAUCCAGACCCUACGGGGUGCAGCAGGCGCGAAAACUUCACACUGCAGGAAACUGUGACGAGGGAACUCCAAGUGCUAUCACUAUGUGGUAGCUUUUCUUGACUAUUAAUCGGUCAUGGAAUAAGGGCUGGGAAAGACCGGUGCCAGCCGCCGCGGUAAUACCGGCAGCUCAAGUGGUCGUCGCUUUUAUUGGGCCUAAAACGUCCGUAGCCUGUUUGGUAAAUCUGUGGGUAAAUCAACCAGCUUAACUGGUUGAAUUCUGCAGAGACUGCCAGACUAGGGACCGGGAGAGGUGUGGGGUACUCUAGGGGUAGGGGUAAAAUCCUGUCAUCCUUAGAGGACCACCAGUUGCGAAGGCGCCACACUGGAACGGAUCCGACGGUCAGGGACGAAGCCUAGGGGCACGAACCGGAUUAGAUACCCGGGUAGUCCUAGGUGUAAACGCUGUGAACUUGGUGUCGGGGAUCCGUAAUGGGUCCUCGGUGCCGGAGUGAAGAUGUUAAGUUCACUGCCUGGGGAGUACGGUCGCAAGGCUGAAACUCAAAUGAAUUGACGG
rnacentral:rRNA from 1 species